CUGGAAAUACAAACCAAACACGACCUCAGAGCAGGCGAGACUACCCGCUGAAUUUAACCUAUCAAACACCGCGGAAGAAAAAAAAAGUGGGGAG
rnacentral:rRNA from 1 species